rnacentral:rRNA from 1 species
CCUGCGUGAAGUUGGAAUCGCUAGUAAUCGCGGAUCAGCAUGCCGCGGUGAAUACGUUCCCGGGCCUUGUACACACCGCCCGUCACACCAUGGGAGUCGGUAACACCCGAAGUCGGUAGUCUAACCGAAAGGAGGACGCCGCCGAAGGUGGGAUUGAUGACUGGGGUGAAGUCGUAACAAGGUACC